UCCCUGGUGGCUCAGACGGUAAAGCGUCUGUCUGCAAAGCAGGAGACCUGGGCUCAACCCCUGGGUCGGGAA
rnacentral:tRNA from 1 species